rnacentral:rRNA from 1 species
CCUACGUGAGGCAGCAGUGGGGAAUAUUGCACAAUGGGGGAAACCCUGAUGCAGCGCCGCCGCGUGAGUGAAGAAGUAAUUCGUUAUGUAAAGCUCUAUCAGCAGGGAAGAAAAUGACGGUACCUGAGUAAGAAGCCCCGGCUACUUAGGUGCCAGCAGCCGCGGUAAGACGUAGGGGGAAAGCGUGAGCCGGAUUAACUGGGUGUAAAGGGAGCGUAGACGGCAGUGCAAGUCUGGAGUGAAAGGCGGGGGCUCAACCCCCGGACUGCUCUGGAAACUGUACGGCUGGAGUGCAGGAGAGGUAAGUGGAAUUCCUAGUGUAGCGGUGAAAUGCGUAGAUAUUAGGAGGAACACCAGUGGCGAAGGCGGCUUACUGGACUGUAACUGACGUUGAGGCUCGAAAGCGUGGGGAGCAAACAGGAUUAGAUACCCCUGUAGUC